GAUGAAGAACGCAGCGAAAUGCGAUACGUAGUGUGAAUUGCAGAAUUCAGUGAAUCAUCGAAUCUUUGAACGCACAUUGCACCUCUCGUAUUCCGGGAGGUAUGCCUGUUCGAGCGUCAUUUGUACCCUCAAGCUCUGCUUGGUGUUGGGUGUUUGUUCCGCCUCUGUGUGUGAACUCGCCUCAAAACAAUUGGCAGCCGGCGUACUUGUUUCGGAGCGCAGCACAUUUUGCGAUCCAGAUCAACGUACAGCGGCAUCCAAGAAGCCUUAUUUAACGCUCUUGACCUCGGAUCAGGUAGGGAUACCCGCUGAACUUAAGCAUAUCAAUAAGCGGAGGA
rnacentral:misc_RNA from 1 species